rnacentral:rRNA from 1 species
GAUGAACGCUGGCGGCGUGCCUAAUACAUGCAAGUCGAGCGAACAGACGAGGAGCUUGCUCCUCUGACGUUAGCGGCGGACGGGUGAGUAACACGUGGAUCACCUACCUAUAAGACUGGGAUAACUUCGGGAAACCGGAGCUAAUCCCGGAUAAUAUAUUGAACCGCAUGGUUCAAUAGUGAAAGACGGUUUUGCUGUCACUUCUAGAUGGAUCCGCGCCGCAUUAGCUAGUUGGUAAGGUAACGGCUUACCAAGGCAACGAUGCGUAGACGACCUGAGAGAGGGGUCGGCCACACUGGAACUGAGACACGGUCCAGACUCCUACGGGAGGCAGCAGUAGGGAAUCUUCCGCAAUGGGCGAAAGCCUGACGGAGCAACGCCGCGUGAGUGAUGAAGGUCUUCGGAUCGUAAAACUCUGUUAUUAGGGAAGAACAAAUGUGUAAGUAACUAUGCACGUCUUGACGGUACCUAAUCAGAAAGCCACGGCUAACUACGUG